rnacentral:rRNA from 1 species
UUUAAUGAGAGUUUGAUCCUGGCUCAGAACGAACGCUGGCGGCGUGCCUAACACAUGCAAGUCGAACGGAUCAAGCAGAGAGCACAGAGCGUAGAGCAAAGGGAUAGGGACAGAGGUAAAGUUUUUCAACUCUAAGCUCUAUGCUGUGAGCUCUUUGCUUGGUCAGUGGCGCACGGGUGAGUAACACGUAGGUAACCUGCCCUUAAGAGGGGGAAAACCCCGAGAAAUCGGGGCUAAUACCGCAUAAGACCACGAACUGAGAUGUUUGUGGUAAAAGUCCCGAUGCAAAUCGGGACACUUAAGGAUGGGCCUGCGGCCUAUCAGGUAGUUGGUGAGGUAACGGCUCACCAAGCCUAAGACGGGUAGCCGGUCUGAGAGGACGGACGGCCACACUGGAACUGAGACACGGUCCAGACUCCUACGGGAGGCAGCAGUGGGGAAUUUUGCACAAU